CAGUAGCCGCGGUAAUACGUAGGGUGCAAGCGUUAAUCGGAAUUACUGGGCGUAAAGCGUGCGCAGGCGGUUAUAUAAGACAGAUGUGAAAUCCCCGGGCUCAACCUGGGAACUGCAUUUGUGACUGUAUAGCUAGAGUACGGCAGAGGGGGAUGGAAUUCCGCGUGUAGCAGUGAAAUGCGUAGAUAUGCGGAGGAACACCGAUGGCGAAGGCAAUCUCCUGGGCCUGUACUGACGCUCAUGCACGAAAGCGUGGGGAGCAAACAGGAUUAGAGACCCGAGUAGUCCCUGUCUCUUAUAC
rnacentral:rRNA from 1 species